rfam:Pan troglodytes isolate Yerkes chimp pedigree #C0471 (Clint) chromosome 9, whole genome shotgun sequence.
GCUGGGCAUGGUGGUGUGUGCCUGUAAUCCCGGCUACUCGGAAGGCUGAGGUGGGAGGAUCACUUGAGCCCAGAGUUCAAGACCAGGCUGGGCAACAUAGUGAGACCCCAUCUCUU